GUCUAACACUAGCUCUGGAGGCAUGGGGUCUGUGAAUGAAGAGGUCGUAGUAUGUAUUAUGCUGUUGUCUUUCUGUCCGCAUGGCAAAGGUUAUGCUGUGGCAUGGAAGCUUUAAUAAAAAAGCUUUAGUAAAGAAAUAGCUUGUUAAAAAACUUGAGAAAUUUCCUGGUUUUAUUUGUUGAAAACUUGUUUGCAUGUACUUCUCUUUAUUUUAAUUAAUGUUUACACGUAAUCUUGAUUAAUCGUGAGGCACUUAAAGACAAUGUCUUUAUUUAUAGCUUGUUUUGAUUUGCUUCAAAUACAUGCAUUAUGCCUUUUGAAAAUAUAACAAAUUAUAUUAGAUUCAAGAGAUCUGUAAAAUUCAUUUUCCAUAUAUAAUAUGUGCAUGGCUCUUUUUGAAAUUUGUUCUUUUGGAAAAUUAAUAGAAGCUGCACAAAGUACUUUGUCACCUUUUUCUCUUUAGUAUAUCUCAUAUAAAGGUCCAAGAGAGCUUUCUGUACCUGUCUAUGUUAAUGAUCUUAUAACUUUCUGAUUUUAACUACCGGGUAAAUUAGAUUAUCAGCUUCUUAAGUCAAUCCAUUGAGCCAAUUUCCACCAAAUUUGGUUGAAAGCUUUCUUAGGAGAAAAAAUUUUAACCGGGUUUUCUGAAGGAAAAAUCUGGUUAUUGAAAUGGUAAAAAUGGCGGAACGCCCAGUGGGUGGGCGGGCAGCCAUCAAAAGGGUACCCUUUUUGUACAGAUAACUCUUCCUACAGUUUUCAAGAUAGGAAGUUGAUGUUUUGCAGAUCAAUUGUACAAAUAUCAGAGGUGUGCAUAUUGCUAGGAUUCGAAUUUCUGAUAAUUUAUGAAAAAAUACCAGCUUUUGAACGUGGUCAUUUUUUGGCGAAAUAUUGCAUAUAGGGUACCCCUAAGGUACGGAUAACUCCUCCUACAGUUUUCAAGAUAAGAAGUUUUUGUUUUGCACAUCAAUUGAACAUAUAUAAGAGGUGUGCAUAUUACUUGGAUUUUGAUUUUUGAUAAUAUAUGAAAAAAAAAUGCCACCUGGAAGUUGAACUUAGUUAUUUUCACACAGAAUAUUGCAUGUAGGGUACUCCAUUUCUCUGGAUGGGUUGUGUUUAUCAAUUAAGGGUUGACAAAUGGAUUAUGGAUACUGAUAACACAAAAGAAAACCCGGUUUGCUGUCAAAUUGACAGCUUUUCUCUUGUCUAGUUUGUUAAAAUGAAAUCAAUGUCAAUAACCCCACAUCAUCCCCACCCCCAACCCCCACCUUUUUGAGAAAACUAGGUCAAUGUAGGAAAGUGUCAUCUAAUUCUUAUAACAUGCAUGUAUGAUAUUGUGUAACAUUGUAUCAAACAAUAUGAUUGGAUCAACUCAAAUUUUGUAUUUUUAAUGCUACAGCCUUCAGAAACUGUGGAAUCAGAGACAGGUGCUAUGAAGGAGUUAAAUAACAUCUUGAAAAAAAUGAAGCGAACCCAGAGUGAGGCUGACAUGGCAAGUAUGGCUGGUGGUGAAGCACAGGAGAAAUCGUCUGCAGACUCAGAGCCUGCUUUCGCAUUCACACUCAAAAAGAGAAUGGUGGGCAGUGAAGCGCGGGAGGAAUCGACUGCAGACACCCCCUCGGAGCCUGCUUUCGCAUUCACACUCAAAAAGAGAUCAGACUCGGUUGACGCCUCAGUUCCAGGUAAUACAUGAAUUACAAGAACAAAAAUCUAAAAGACUCAAAGGAAAACCAGACUGUCCUUCAAUCUUCAGUGUUUACUUUAGCAGGUUUUGUGUGAAUAUAUGUGCAGAAUAAAUGGAUGUCAAAUUGGCUCCAAAUCUAGGCUUGCAUUUAACAACUGUCUUCAUAGUUAAUUGAGAAUUUGUAAAUUUAGUAUAUAGUGUAUUCAUAUAUAAAUAGAAGGGGAAUAGAGGCACUUAUAUAAAUUGUGAUCUAUUACCAGUACAUUGUGUACAUAAUACAUUAUACAUGUAUUCUAUAAAUUUUUGACAUGAUUCUCAGAAAAAAAGGAGGAGCAGCCAGAAUUUUUGACACCCAGUUUCAAGCUGAAAGGAGGUCGCUUAAAGCAGCUUCUAAAUCCCAUGGAUGAGGAAGACAAUUAAGUCAAGAUGAGCUCUUCCAUUGUUUCUUUUCCAUGUCUUCCAAGACAAUUUCCGAGGCUUCCAUGAUCAAUAGGAGGCUCCCAUGACUCAAACUAAUUCUUAAAAUAACUGAACAUUCACAAUAAAUUAAUAAUAAAAUGUUUGUCUGUCACUGUGAUUAUAAUUCAAAAUUUCUUGCAUGAUGAUGAUUCCAAUACAUAAUGUGCAAUAAAAGAAAGUUUCUCUGU
rnacentral:misc_RNA from 1 species